AGAUUAAGUUAUUAAGGGCGCACGGUGGAUGCCUUGGCACUAGAAGCCGAUGAAGGACGUUACUAACGACGAUAUGCUUUGGGGAGCUGUAAGUAAGCUUUGAUCCAGAGAUUUCCGAAUGGGGAAACCCAGCAUGAGUUAUGUCAUGUUAUCGAUAUGUGAAUACAUAGCAUAUCAGAAGGCACACCCGGAGAACUGAAACAUCUUAGUACCCGGAGGAAGAGAAAGAAAAUUCGAUUCCCUUAGUAGCGGCGAGCGAAACGGGAAGAGCCCAAACCAACAAGCUUGCUUGUUGGGGUUGUAGGACACUCUAUACGGAGUUACAAAGGACGACAUUAGACGAAUCAUCUGGAAAGAUGAAUCAAAGAAGGUAAUAAUCCUGUAGUCGAAAAUGUUGUCUCUCUUGAGUGGAUCCUGAGUACGACGGAGCACGUGAAAUUCCGUCGGAAUCUGGGAGGACCAUCUCCUAAGGCUAAAUACUCUCUAGUGACCGAUAGUGAACCAGUACCGUGAGGGAAAGGUGAAAAGCACCCCGGAAGGGGAGUGAAAUAGAACCUGAAACCGUGUGCUUACAAGUAGUCAGAGCCCGUUAAUGGGUGAUGGCGUGCCUUUUGUAGAAUGAACCGGCGAGUUACGAUUUGAUGCAAGGUUAAGCAGUAAAUGUGGAGCCGUAGCGAAAGCGAGUCUGAAUAGGGCGUUUAGUAUUUGGUCGUAGACCCGAAACCAGGUGAUCUACCCUUGGUCAGGUUGAAGUUCAGGUAACACUGAAUGGAGGACCGAACCGACUUACGUUGAAAAGUGAGCGGAUGAACUGAAGGUAGCGGAGAAAUUCCAAUCGAACCUGGAGAUAGCUGGUUCUCUCCGAAAUAGCUUUAGGGCUAGCCUCAAGUGAUGAUUAUUGGAGGUAGAGCACUGUUUGGACGAGGGGCCCCUCUCGGGUUACCGAAUUCAGACAAACUCCGAAUGCCAAUUAAUUUAACUUGGGAGUCAGAACAUGGGUGAUAAGGUCCGUGUUCGAAAGGGAAACAGCCCAGACCACCAGCUAAGGUCCCAAAAUAUAUGUUAAGUGGAAAAGGAUGUGGCGUUGCCCAGACAACUAGGAUGUUGGCUUAGAAGCAGCCAUCAUUUAAAGAGUGCGUAAUAGCUCACUAGUCGAGUGACACUGCGCCGAAAAUGUACCGGGGCUAAACAUAUUACCGAAGCUGUGGAUUGUCCUUUGGACAAUGGUAGGAGAGCGUUCUAAGGGCGUUGAAGCAUGAUCGUAAGGACAUGUGGAGCGCUUAGAAGUGAGAAUGCCGGUGUGAGUAGCGAAAGACGGGUGAGAAUCCCGUCCACCGAUUGACUAAGGUUUCCAGAGGAAGGCUCGUCCGCUCUGGGUUAGUCGGGUCCUAAGCUGAGGCCGACAGGCGUAGGCGAUGGAUAACAGGUUGAUAUUCCUGUACCACCUAUAAUCGUUUUAAUCGAUGGGG
rnacentral:rRNA from 1 species